rnacentral:rRNA from 1 species
GGCUGCUCCGCAAGGGGCAAGUCGAGCGGCGAACGGGUGAGUAACGCGUGGAUUAUCUGCCCUGAGGUGGGGAACAACCAGGGGAAACUCUGGCUAAUACCGCAUGACACCGAGAGGUCAAAGGGGCCCGCAAGGGUCUCGCCACAGGAGGAGUCCGCGUCCGAUUAGCUAGUUGGUAGGGUAAUGGCCUACCAAGGCGACGAUCGGUAGCCGGCCUGAGAGGGUGAUCGGCCACACUGGAACUGAGACACGGUCCAGACUCCUACGGGAGGCAGCAGUGGGGAAUUUUGCGCAAUGGGCUAACGCCUGACGCAGCAACGCCGCGUGGAGGAUGAAGGUCUUUGGAUUGUAAACUCCUGUCAGCAGGGAAAAAGCGACCUGACCUCAUACGUCAGGAAGUUGAUUGUACCUGCAGAGGAAGCCCCGGCUAACUCUGUGCCAGCAGCCGCGGUAAUACAGAGGGGGCAAGCGUUAUUCGGAAUUAUUGGGCGUAAAGGGCGCGUAGGCGGCUUGGCAAGUGAAAGGUGAAAUCCCUCGGCUUAACCGAGGAACUGCCUUUCAGACUGCUUUGCUUGAGGCCGGGAGAGGCGAGUGGAAUUCCCAGUGUAGCGGUGAAAUGCGUAGAUAUUGGGAGGAACACCAGUGGCGAAGGCGGCUCGCUGGACCGGUUCUGACGCUNAGGCGCGAAAGCGUGGGGAGCAAACGGGAUUAGAUACCCCGGUAGUCCACGCCGUAAACGAUGAGUGCUUGGUGUAGCGGGUAUCGACCCCUGCUGUGCCGAAGUCAACACAUUAAGCAC